rnacentral:rRNA from 1 species
GACGAACGCUGGCGGCGUGCCUAAUACAUGCAAGUCGAGCGAAGAAGCUUGGAGCUUGCACCACUGUGCAGAGCGGCGAACGGGUGAGUAACGCGUGGGGAACCUGCCUUUGAGCGGGGGACAACAUUGGGAAACGAAUGCUAAUACCGCAUAAUAACUUUAAACAUAAGGUUCAAGAUUGAAAGAUGCUUUUGCAUCCAUUAAAGGAGAUACCGCGUUGGAUUAGCUUGGUGGUGAGGGAAAGGCUCAACAAGGCGAAGAUACAUAGCCGAACUGAGAGGGUGAUCGGCCACAAUGGGACCGGGACAAGGCCCCAACUUCUACGGGAGGCAGCAGGAGGGGAAUUUCGGGCAAGGACGGAAGGCUGAACGAGGAACGGCGGGUGAGGGAAUAAGGGUCUCGGAUCGGAAAACUCGGUUGGUAGGGAAGAACGAAGGGGAGAGUGGAAAGCGCAUCAAUUGACGGUAACUACCCAGAAAGCCACGGCUAACUACGUG